UGUCUCUCAUCCCUACAGCCAGCAGGCCUCCAACGCAGGAGUGUGUUUGUCUUUGGUGCCAUGUGUUUCUGAACUACCAGUAGGCCGUGUGUGUGCGCACGAGUGUGUGUAUAGGAAAUACUGCCACAUCACUACAGGGAUCCGAUAACAUCUAAUAACCCAUAUGUCUCGCAACAGGAGUCAAGCCGGGGUCUGCUCCUCAGUCCAUAACCUGGCUAUUUAUGCCUAACGAUGAGGAGGAUGAUGCUGGCAGCUAGCAGAAACCACCAAGACUAAAUGAAUCUAUUCAACAAGUCCUCAAGAUUCCACGAAGCCCUAUGCAGUCAAGAGUGGACCAAACUCUGGCAGCGUCCCUUCCCCGAUGACGUCAACAGUCAGUCACGUGAACGCAUAAAAAGCAGAAGCGAGCUAGUGUUGCCCUGGCAACAGGCAGACAGUUCUAUAGUGAUUUCAAUAGGUCAUCUGUCAGAGCUGCUCUGAAAGAGACCCUCACAAAACCAGAGUCUAAUCCGCAGUCAAAAUGAGCGAGUGUUUUGGAAGAAAAGCUUCAGUGUAGACAGGAAGCUGCAUUCAACGGUGAAAAGAAACCACACGAACAGUAUGAGAAAUGUGAAUACGCAACAAUCGGAUUGUAGCAGCGUAUUGCACUGCAUGAAGAAGCGUUGAGGAAUGAAAAGCGGUGUUGUGAUAGUUUCCAGCAGCUUCAGACACACUUUCCUCAAUCGUGGCAGGAACCGAGGCAAUGUAGUGCUGAGUCAGUGGUUCCCAUGAGACUUUGGAACCAGAUUAUAAACAUUCUUUGGUAAUUAGAAAAAGAGAGGAAACCAGGACAUAAACAGACUUUCAGCUUUAUGAUGUCAAUGUUACAAUCCCACUGCAUUACCGAAUUUGAAAAUCGUGUGAUGCAAUGACAAUUGGUAUGUCAUUAAAUUCCUUAAACUGAAAGUGAACCUUAAAUACUUGCAAUUUAACUCAAAAUCAGAAGUACAACAACAGCUGGAACCACUAAUUGAUAAAACUAGACAAUCAUCAAGUGUAGCCCAUCUUUUCUAAUCUCAAGGCAGAUUUACAGGUACAUCUCAAAAAAUGUAAAUAUUGUGAACAACAUUUUUUCAAAGUUAUUUCAAAAAGUGAAAAUUUAUAUAUUUUUGAUUCAUUAUAUGUAAAACCCCCCCAAAAACUAUUUAUUUUUUAAUUCUGAUGAGCUUACAACUCAUAAAAGCCAAAACCCAGCAUCUCUAAAUAUUAGCAUAUUUCCUAAAAUCAAUCAGAAAAGUUCUUCAAGGUAUGUUAAUAUCUGCACUCAAUACUUGUUUGGGGCUCCUUUAGCACAAGCUCCAGCAUCAGUGAGGAGUGAAAUGGAAGCAAUCAAUCCGUGUCUCUGCUGAGGCACUAUUGAGUCUUCAGCUCGUCUGAGCCAACUGAGUAACAGUCCAGUUAUUUUUCUCCUUAGCCCAGUUAAGAUGCUUCUGAUGUUGUUUCUGUUUCAGAAGUAUCUUGGUAGCUCUUUAUAUGAGCGCAAAGACUUUUGAUUCACUGACUCCAGCUUUAGUCCACUCCAUGUGAAGCUUAAGCGUUUGAUUUGGCUUGAGGUCAUCCCUGUUGCUCAACUUUUCCUACCAGAUUUUUGCAUUUUUGCAUUUAAUAUGCUUUGAUACAGCACUCUGUGAACAGCCACUCCUUUCAGUAAUGACCUUCUGUGACAAACUCUUUGUGGAGGGUGUCAAUGCUCGUAUUCUCUAUCAUUGACAAGUCAGCAGUUUUCCCCAUUAUUGUGGGUUCAAAAAACAAGAGAUACCCAGAAUUUUUAUAGUAUUAUAUGGUUGCAUUUAAAAUGUAACUUAAAUGAAUAUUCUAAUACUUUGAGAUACUGAAUUUUGACUUAUGUAAUAAAUCUAAUUUAUAUAGAGAAGAUUCACUUGCUGAAAUAAGUUACAAAAAAAUGUUUUUCCACGAUAUUCAAAUUUUUUGAGAUGUACCUCUAUACUCAACGUGUCCUCAAACUGCUUGGGUCAGUGUGGCAAAUAUGACUUCACCGUUGUUUUCACUUUAGAAGCCGGCAUUUGUGUUAAACAGAAGCAGUUUAAUGUGACGUUCAAACUCCAUCAGGGGCCUUUUUUCCAAGGCAGUACAAUUACAGUUAAUGUAAAGUUAAAGUUGUCUUAUGUUUGAUACGAAAUAAACUCAAACUUUACGAUUUUAAUCCGUUUGUAAAGAAAUAAUUCAUUCAACUUAUUAAAGCAUUAACUUCAUCAAGUGAGAAGUCUUGUACCAGCAAAUGGCGACUUCUCACUGGUGAUUCCAGAUGAUUUUAGAGGACAAUUACUCCUUGUCACUUCAAAGAAUAGCACAAUGGUGAACACAAGUAUAAAAGCCUCUUUGGUUUGGGAAGGCGAACGCACUUCAGCGGAGGCUCAAAAGUAUGCUUCAGUAUUUAAGUCGUUUUUUUUUUUGACAUUAUGACGAAUAAACGAUGAGAUUUGAAUAAUGACCAAAUCAAGUCAAUCACAAAUAAAGCAACAGUAUAAAAGGAUGCUUAAAACACUUUUGAAUGUCAGAAAAAUUAAAAAAGCUAAGCUUUCUAAAACAUCUGCUUUUUAAGGUUUGUAUACUUGGUAUAUCUUCCAUUGGACAAACAGAUACGUUUGGAUGCUGCUCCAAACCCACAAAACUGAUUGACCCUUAAAUGUCACUUAAACAACUUUGCUAUGCAGAGAGCCAGUUCUUAAAUCAACAAAUUGCUUACGUAAAAUACAUUAAACAGGGAAAGGAAAUAGUAUUUUAACAAGGUUAAAGUUUGCUGGAGCCAUCAAGUUCUCCCAAACUUGAUUUAAGGGAAGAUUUGCAAGAUUUAGAAAGCGAAAUAUUGGUUUUUAGAUAUGAAGAGUGUAAAACUAAUGUGCAUGUCAUGAAACUCGAGCACAUUUUUCACUGUAAUCAUCAUUCAGGGAAGAAAAACCCAAUUAAACUCUAACAUCGGGUUGUCA